rnacentral:rRNA from 1 species
GGAAUUUUCGUCAAUGGGGGGAAACCCUGAACGAGCAAUGCCGCGUGAGUGAAGAAGGUCUUCGGAUCGUAAAGCUCUGUUGUAAGUGAAGAACGGCUCAUAGAGGAAAUGCUAUGGGAGUGACGGUAGCUUACCAGAAAGCCACGGCUAACUACGUGCCAGCAGCCGCGGUAAUACGUAGGUGGCAAGCGUUAUCCGGAAUCAUUGGGCGUAAAGGGUGCGUAGGUGGCGUACUAAGUCUGUAGUAAAAGGCAAUGGCUCAACCAUUGUAAGCUAUGGAAACUGGUAUGCUGGAGUGCAGAAGAGGGCGAUGGAAUUCCAUGUGUAGCGGUAAAAUGCGUAGAUAUAUGGAGGAACACCAGUGGCGAAGGCGGUCGCCUGGUCUGUAACUGACACUGAGGCACGAAAGCGUGGGGAGCAAAUA